CACAGUUUUGCCCAGCGCCGCCUUGGACCUGAGGUGGCGUCUCUAGCCAUGGACAGUCUCUGCCGUGGAGUGUUUGCAGGCAACAGCCGUGAGCUCAGCAUCAGGUCCUGCUUUCCCAGUCUCUUCCAAGCUGAGCAAACCCAUCGUUCCAUAUUACUGGGCCUGCUGCUGGGGGCAGGGCGGACCCCACAGCCAGAUUCAGCACUCAUUCGCCAGGCCUUGGCUGAGCGCUGGAGCCAGUGGUCACUUCGUGGAGGUCUAGAGAUGUUGCCUCAGGCCCUUGAAACCCACCUGACUAGUAGGGGGGUCAGUGUUCUCAGAGGCCAGCCGGUCUGUGGGCUCAGCCUCCAGGCAGAAGGGCGCUGGAAGGUAGGGGAACCCCUGGAGUGUAAUGAACCUGUCAGUGUUUCCAUCUUUAUCCAAGUGGCUUAACUAGGCCAGGGCCGAUAGGACUGGAGUUCCUCAUUGUUUUUGUGCCUUAGAAGCUACUUAGACAUGGGCUACCCGAGAAUCCUAGGCCCUAUUUGUGAACCUUCCUCAAAGAGCCUAUGCAAGUCUGUGGAUAGAAGUAGUACUUAUAAGUGGCUUAGAGAUAGGGGAAAGAACCCAGCUUCACUGAACAUUUCAGAACAGCCACACUGGCCUGUCUGGUCCACUUCCUGGAGUACACAGAGGAAUGAUUUUUUGUGAAGUCUACAUAGUCACCCAAUCUCUUCAUCCUGGGUCAGUACACAGUCUCCCCGGCCACAUGGGUGCCUGGGAAACAGAGUGAGGCACCAGAAGUCUCUUUUCACUCAUCAAAUUCUCAUUUUCUGGGUCUCUCAAAUGUUUUCAUGCUCUCAGGUAUCUCUAAGGGACAGCAGUCUGGAGGCUGACCACGUUAUUAGUGC
rnacentral:sRNA from 1 species